rnacentral:rRNA from 1 species
GAUUAACGCUAGCGGCAGGCCUAAUACAUGCAAGUCGAACGGUAAAUAGUGUAGCAAUACAUUAUGAGAGUGGCGCACGGGUGAGUAACGCGUAUGCAACCUACCUUUAACUGGGGGAUAGCCUUCCGAAAGGAAGAUUAAUACCGCAUAAAAUUAUGAAGUGGCAUCACUUUAUAAUCAAAACUCCGGUGGUUAAAGAUGGGCAUGCGUGACAUUAGCUAGUUGGUGAGGUAACGGCUCACCAAGGCGACGAUGUCUAGGGGUCUGAGAGGAUGAUCCCCCACACUGGUACUGAGACACGGACCAGACUCCUACGGGAGGCAGCAGUAAGGAAUAUUGGUCAAUGGAGGAAACUCUGAACCAGCCAUGCCGCGUGAAGGAUGACUGCCCU